rnacentral:rRNA from 1 species
GACGAACGCUGGCGGCGUGCCUAAUACAUGCAAGUAGAACGCUGAAGGAGGAGCUUGCUUCUCUGGAUGAGUUGCGAACGGGUGAGUAACGCGUAGGUAACCUGCCUGGUAGCGGGGGAUAACUAUUGGAAACGAUAGCUAAUACCGCAUAAUAGCAGUUGUUGCAUGACAACUGUUUGAAAGGUGCUAUUGCACCACUACCAGAUGGACCUGCGUUGUAUUAGCUAGUUGGUGGGGUAACGGCUCACCAAGGCGACGAUACAUAGCCGACCUGAGAGGGGGAUCGGCCACACUGGGACUGGGACACGGCCCAGACUCCUACGGGAGGCAGCAGUAGGGAAUCUUCGGCAAUGGACGGAAGUCUGACCGAGCAACGCCGCGUGAGUGAAGAAGGUUUUCGGAUCGUAAAGCUCUGUUGUAAGAGAAGAACGAGUGUGAGAGUGGAAAGUUCACACUGUGACGGUAUCUUACCAGAAAGGGACGGCUAACUACGUG